AUGCCCUAAACUUAUGAGUAAGGAAAAUAACGAUUUGGGCUGAUGCCCAAAUCCUCACUGCUUAUGUGAGACAAAUUUUUGAGUGGGUAAAGGUCACCCAAAGGUGACCCACCUACUUUGCGGGAUGCCUGGGUGCCGCAAUCUGCCCA